rnacentral:miRNA from 1 species
GUUUCUAUGUGUAGCCCUGGUUGUCCUGGAACUCAUUCUGUAGACCAGGCUAGCCUUAGAACUCAAAGAUUCACCUGCCUCAGCCUCCCGAGUGCUGGGACUAAAGGCGUGCGCCACCUAUGCCUG